UGGGGAAUUUUGGACAAUGGGCGAAAGCCUGAUCCAGCAAUGCCGCGUGUGUGAAGAAGGCCUUCGGGUUGUAAAGCACUUUUGUCCGGAAAGAAAUCCUCUGGGUUAAUACCUCGGGGGGAUGACGGUACCGGAAGAAUAAGCACCGGCUAACUACGUGCCAGCAGCCGCGGUAAUACGUAGGGUGCAAGCGUUAAUCGGAAUUACUGGGCGUAAAGCGUGCGCAGGCGGUUUUGUAAGACGGAUGUGAAAUCCCCGGGCUUAACCUGGGAACUGCAUUCGUGACUGCAAGGCUAGAGUAUGGCAGAGGGGGGUAGAAUUCCACGUGUGAGCAGUGAAAUGCGUAGAGAUGUGGAGGAAUACCGAUGGCGAAGGCAGCCCCCUGGGCCAAAUACUGACGCUCAUGCACG
rnacentral:rRNA from 1 species